rfam:Taphrina deformans PYCC 5710 genomic scaffold, scaffold00290
UGAGUUGUUGACUAAUGGGUAAGUCGCUGAUUUUUGAAUUCAGUUUAUGAAAGUUCGAGCCUUUCCAACUCAU